AAUUCCGUUAUUUAAUAUGAAAUAACAUGGAGAAACAGUUAUAGUUUAUUAACUGUGGAGUCUAAAAUGUUUUCUCCCCUCAGGGACAAUCUUCAUUACUUCCUGGACAAUGCUGGCCCUUUUCAGGUGACCAAGGGCAUUUAUCUGUCUCGCUGUCCCACCCAGUGUCCAUCACUAGCGUGACACUCGGCCACAUUACAAAGAGCCAGUCCCCAUCUGAAAGCAUCGCCAGUGCACCGAGGACAUUUUCAAUCUAUGGAAUGAGGACUGCUACUGAGGAAGGAAGAUAUUUGGGAACACUGGUCUAUGAUCAAGACGGAGCAGCAUUUCAGACCUUUAAGCUGCCUAAUCCAGACAGAGGAGUCUUCCGAUAUGUGAAGCUACAGAUUGACAGCAACUGGGGAAACACAGACUACACCUGCCUGUACAGCUUCAGGGUUCACGGUAAGAUAGGUGAAGGUGAAGGUAAAUCAAUCACAAAACGCCCGAAUUUUCCUGAAUUUAGCUGACCAAGUUAGGAUUCCAAAUAGGAAUUUUGCUUUGGAUCGUAUUGCUCACAAUGUACAAAACAAACAAUAUAUACACACUAUAAACAAUAUAGACAGGUUGAGACAAUAGUGCAAUGAAGAGUGCAAAUUAUGCAGGAGUAAAUUAUAAUUGUGAUAGUUAUUAUUUUAAUUAUGGAGAAUAGUGCAGACGGUGCUGGAAUAAAUAAUAUGAUGUUAUUAUAUAAGUGUUGUAUUACAAUAUGAACAGUGUAUUGUGAAGGAUUCAUAAACACAAAUCUACACGUUAUGUUCCCAGAUGUUUUGUAGUUAAUUUACCUUCCCUCCCAGGGCGGCAUGGUGGCUGUGUGAAUGCAGCCCCCCAUGUCUGCGUGGGUUUACUCCGGGUGCUCCGGUUUCCUCCCACACAUGCAGGUU